AGCACUGAUACCGUACAUUCAGUAUUCUCUUUAAUCACAAUCCUUAAACCAGUUACUUUCAUUUCUCCUCUUUGAGAAUCUCCUCUUUGACUAUUUUCUUAGCCUCUUCUAGUUGCCCAUCUCACCAUGCGAGCCCUUGACUCCAGCCGCUAAUCCUUCUAUUGUGUAUGUCCACUCACUGGCUCAUUCAGCCUACAGGAUGGAUCUGCUAGUGUAAAAGGAAAUAGCUACUUUCUCACGUCAAAACUCCUCUUUGUGGUUUGUGGUGCCAUAAAGACAGCAGGGUGUCUGGGAAAUCUGUGUCACUUAACAGGUUGACUGAGACUGUCCAUAUACGGAUAAUCCAUCGGAAUGGCCACAUGAGGCCGAACUAGCCUGCCAAUAAAAAGAAUGGAGUUGGUCUUGUUGUCUUUCACAAGGAAAAUGAAGGGAUGGUCGGCAUAGAAGAGCUUGGGGUUCCUGAUCUUCUCGCUACCAUAAAUGCUGUUGUCAAAUGGAUUUCCCUCUGUGUCCCACUCCAAGGCAGAGGCAUGGAAGACACUGGCAAGAUGCUGUUUUGCAGCAGAGUGCUCGAAGCAGAGGACUUUAUACUCCAGGAAAGAAACUUCUAGAAGCUGGAGCCGGGCUAUUCAAAUGAGGAUGUUUGGAUUUCCUAGGGAAGCUGAGA